UCCCCAUCCUUGCGGUGCCGCUCCCAGUCCCCGCCUCUUCCAAGAAAAUCCCACGGAGUACCCUAAAAAAAAAUCCCACGGAAAAGUUUCCCCUCUUCCACCAAGCUUCCAGGUUCCUCUCCUCUCCACCGAGUUCGAGCAGCCGCGGCAGCAGUAGCCAUGUGGCGUUCGCGCGGCGGCGGCAACCAGGACAUCGGCGCUAGGUCAUACACGAAGCGGAGGGCAUGCCGUUGCUGGCUUACAACGGGGGCUUCGUCGUGGUCUUAGUUCCUGCUGAACGUCUAUGGCGGCAUGCUCGCCUACAUCAUCGACCUUCCACCACUCUAGUAGCAGUAGCAGUAUCAAGUGUACUGUCGACGCGUUUGAUCCUUCUAGAGCCUCUGGGAGUGAAACAUGGAGUUGUCGUUCGUAGUUCAGUCUGUCCAUGCUACCUCCGCUGGAACUUGAGGUGCUUGAUGAAGAUGAAGAAGAGGAAGGCGAACAGGGCGAUGAUGGCCAGGUGCAGGCAUGUGACAAGGUUGAAGUAGCGGUUC